rnacentral:rRNA from 1 species
GCUUGUCUCAAAGAUUAAGCCAUGCAUGUCUAAGUGUAAAUAAGUCUAUACUGUGAAACUGCGAAUGGCUCAUUAUAUCAGUUAUAGUUUAUUUGAUGGUUCUUGCUACUUGGAUAACCGUAGUAAUUCUAGAGCUAAUACGUGCGUAAAUCCCGACUUCUGGAAGGGACGUAUUUAUUAGAUAAAGGCCGACCGGGCUCUGCCCGACUCGCGGUGAAUCAUGAUAACUUCACGAAUCGCACGGCCUCGUGCCGGCGAUGUUUCAUUCAAAUUUCUGCCCUAUCAACUUUUGAUGGUAGGAUAGAGGCCUACCAUGGUGGUAACGGGUGACGGAGGAUUAGGGUUCGAUUCCGGAGAGGGAGCCUGAGAAACGGCUACCACAUCCAAGGAAGGCAGCAGG